AGCGAGGUUAAGGACUUCAGGUCCGGAGCCGGAGCGAAAGCGAGUCUGAAUAGGGCGCAUAGUUAGUAGGAUUAGACGCGAAACCUUGUGAUCUACCCAUGGGCAGGUUGAAGCUUUGGUAACACAAAGUGGAGGACCGAACCGGUUGACGUUGAAAAGUCUUCGGAUGACCUGUGGGUAGGGGUGAAAGGCCAAUCAAACUGGGAGAUAGCUCGUACUCUCCGAAAUGCAUUUAGGUGCAGCGUCGCAUAUAAGUUUAUUAGAGGUAGAGCUACUGAUUGGAUGCGGGGGUUUCACCGCCUACCAAUUCCUGACAAACUCCGAAUGCUAAUAAAUGUUCUACGGCAGUGAGGGCAUGGGUGCUAAGGUCCAUGUCCGAGAGGGAAAGAACCCAGACCAACAGCUAAGGUCCCCAAAUUUCUGUUAAGUUGAAGCAACGCGGUUGGACUGCAUUGACAGCUAGGAUGUUGGCUUGGAAGCAGCCAUUCAUUUAAAGAGUGCGUAACAGCUCACUAGUCGAGCGGUCCGGCAUGGAUAAUAAUCGGGCAUAAACAGAAUACCGAAGCUAUGGAUUUGUAAUUUAUUACAUCUGGUAGGAGAGCAUUCUAUCGGCGUAGAAGCUGAGUCGUGAGGCUUGGUGGAGCUUAUAGAAAAGAAAAUGUAGGCAUAAGUAACGAUAAAGGGGGCGAGAAACCCCCUCACCGAAAGACUAAGGUUUCCUCAGCCAUGCUAAUCAGCUGAGGGUUAGUCGGGACCUAACGCGAACCCGAAAGGGGUAGUGGAUGGACAAUGGGUUAAUAUUCCCAUACUUGCUCACACUAAAAAGGGGACGGUUCGAUGUAGCUAUUGAAGACGGACGGAAGUGUCAAGGCCUAGCCUUCGGGCGAAGCUGUUAUAGUGUAAUCGGAUCCAAGAAAAGCCGAAGUGAAGCAACCCGUACCAAAACCGACACAGGUGGUCGAGGAGAGAAUCCUAAGGUGCUCGAGUGAGUCGUGGCUAAGGAACUAGGCAAAAUAGUCUCGUAACUUCGGAAGAAGAGACGCCAGCAGCAAUGCUGGCCGCAGUGAAGAGGCCCAGGCGACUGUUUAUCAAAAAACACAGGACUCUGCUAAAUCGAAAGAUGCUGUAUAGGGUCUGACACCUGCCCGGUGCUGGAAGGUUAAGGAAGGGCGUUAGCGUAAGCGAAGCGUUUGACUGAAGCCCCAGUAAACGGCGGCCGUAACUAUAACGGUCCUAAGGUAGCGAAAUUCCUUGUCGGGUAAGUUCCGACCUGCACGAAUGGUGUAACGAU
rnacentral:ncRNA from 1 species